rnacentral:sRNA from 2 species
UUUUCGUCUGUACUAAUGAGGAUGAGAACCUCCGAAGGAGGUUAGAGCCGGGCGUAGCGAGACAACGUUGCGCUUCAGCAACGGCCCGCAUCCAUUAUCAGAUCAAUUAGUAAUUGUCUCUAAUCGGCGA